rnacentral:rRNA from 1 species
AGAGUUUGAUCCUGGCUCAGAGCGAACGCUGGCGGCAGGCUUAACACAUGCAAGUCGAGCGCCGUAGCAAUACGGAGCGGCAGACGGGUGAGUAACACGUGGGAACGUACCUUUUGGUUCGGAACAACACAGGGAAACUUGUGCUAAUACCGGAUAAGCCCUUACGGGGAAAGAUUUAUCGCCGAAAGAUCGGCCCGCGUCUGAUUAGCUAGUUGGUGAGGUAACGGCUCACCAAGGCGACGAUCAGUAGCUGGUCUGAGAGGAUGAUCAGCCACACUGGGACUGAGACACGGCCCAGACUCCUACGGGAGGCAGCAGUGGGGAAUAUUGGACAAUGGGCGCAAGCCUGAUCCAGCCAUGCCGCGUGAGUGAUGAAGGCCCUAGGGUUGUAAAGCUCUUUUGUGCGGGAAGAUAAUGACUGUACCGCAAGAAUAAGCCCCGGCUAACUUCGUGCCAGCCGCCGCGGUAAUAC